GCUUGGUUAGUGGAGCGGUUAUCACUUCGGAUCCUAAUACAGGAAUUUCCUACAGCUUCCGACAACCCUGGUUUGCUUCCAGGAUCGAUUU